AACGAACGCUGGCGGCAUGCCUAACACAUGCAAGUCGAACGGGAUCCUAGCUUGCUAGGUGAGAGUGGCGGACGGGUGAGUAACACGUGGGAAUCUGCCUUUUGGUUCGGGAUAACCGCGGGAAACUGCGGCUAAUACCGAAUGCCCUCGAGAGAGGAAAGAUUUAUCGCCAGAAGAGGAGCCCGCGUCCGAUUAGGUAGUUGGUGGGGUAAAGGCCUACCAAGCCGACGAUCGGUAGCUGGUCUGAGAGGAUGAUCAGCCACACUGGGACUGAGAUACGGCCCAGACUCCUACGGGAGGCAGCAGUGGGGAAUAUUGGACAAUGGGGGCAACCCUGAUCCAGCAAUGCCGCGUGAGUGAUGAAGGCCUUAGGGUUGUAAAAGGCU
rnacentral:rRNA from 1 species